GACCAAAGGGGGCUUCGGCUCUCGCCUUUAGAUUGGCCCAAGUGGGAUUAGCUAGUUGGUGAGGUAAUGGCUCACCAAGGCAACGAUCCCUAGCUGGUUUGAGAGGAUGAUCAGCCACACUGGAACUGAGACACGGUCCAGACUCCUACGGGAGGCAGCAGUGGGGAAUAUUGCACAAUGGGCGCAAGCCUGAUGCAGCCAUGCCGCGUGUGUGAAGAAGGCCUUCGGGUUGUAAAGCACUUUCAGUCAGGAGGAAAGGUUAGUAGUUAAUACCUGCUAGCUGUGACGUUACUGACAGAAGAAGCACCGGCUAACUCCGUGCCAGCAGCCGCGGUAAUACGGAGGGUGCGAGCGUUAAUCGGAAUUACUGGGCGUAAAGCGUACGCAGGCGGUUUGUUAAGCGAGAUGUGAAAGCCCCGGGCUCAACCUGGGAACUGCAUUUCGAACUGGCAAACUAGAGUGUGAUAGAGGGUGGUAGAAUUUCAGGUGUAGCGGUGAAAUGCGUAGAGAUCUGAA
rnacentral:rRNA from 1 species